rnacentral:rRNA from 1 species
GGUUAACGCUGGCGGCGUGCCUAACACAUGCAAGUCGAACGGUUCUAAGCGCGAGCUUAGGAUAGUGGCGAACGGGUGAGUAAAAGGUAGGAAUCUACCCCUUGGACGGAGAUAGCUACUGGAAACGGUAGGUAAACUUCGAUAAGCCCGAGAGGGGAAAGUGGUGAGACAGCCGAGGGAUGAGCCUACUCUCCAUCAGGUAGUUGGUGAGAUAAAAGCUUACCAAGCCGAUGACGGAUAACCGGUGUGAGAGCAUGAACGGUCACAAGGGCACUGAGAGACGGGCCCUACUCCUACGGGAGGCAGCAGUGGGGAAUCUUGGACAAUGGGCGAAAGCCUGAUCCAGCGACGCCGCGCGGAGGAAGAAGUCCUUCGGGAUGUAAACUUCUGAACUAGCCGAAUAAAAGGCCUGUGGACACACAGGAGAAGAAAGUAGGCUAGGAAAAGUCCCGGCUAACUACGUG